ACAUCAAAGUCACAUGACUUGUUUAUGUAUUUUGACGACGCAAGGCCAGGUGUAGAUAGACAUACAGCUGCAAGGUGUAGGGACUAGAUCUACUGUACUAGUCCUUCUUGUAUCUCGCGCAUACAGAAAAUGGGAAAAGUAAGGGUGCAUGUGGAGUAUUGUGGUGGGUGAGGUUAUGAACCUCGGUUCCUGGAAUUGCGCAGCAACAUCCUGAAGCACAUUUCAGAAUCCGAGGUUGAGAUUAUCGGCCAAGUUGGGCGUAGCACCUCUUUUGAGAUUAAAAUCAACAAUGAGCUGGUUUUCUCAAAGCUUAAACUUGGAGGGUUCCCUAAAGCUGAAGAUGUUAUUGAUAGCAUCCGUGCAGCUCAGAAAGGAGAAGCUAAACUUAUAACAGAGUCACAUUCAGCUGGAUGCAGUAUUUUAUAAAAAAUAUUCUGAACUUGGGCCUUUAAUGUAAUCUCCAUGUAUUCUGCUCUUACAAAUGUGCAAGAAACAAAAGCUUAAAUUAAAAAAUUAAUAUUAGUCUGAUAACGUUUAUCUUUAAUAACUUUAUUUUGAUAUUUUUAUUGCAACUUUUUUAUACCUACAGCAAGACCAGAUCUUUUGAUCCAGAUGUAUCCAUCAUUAUGAAAUCUAACAAAAUGUAGGUAUAUGCAGUAAAGCUGUGUAAUAAAAAAAAAGAACAAAAAAAAAACAUGUUAGCAUUAAGAAGGAUAAACAUAAUAACUUGUGCUAAAGCUAAUUACAAUCUUAAUAGGUUGGUUGUACCUAAAUCCCAAUUCAUCAUUGAAACCACUCACUAAAAAUGUUCAGCAUUAGAUUGUUUCUUGAAACUAAGCUAAAAAAAUUCAAACUUAUUUAUUCAUCCUUGUCCCAUUUCUUCCACAUAACAUUCUGAUUGAUAACUGAGCAUUUUUUUUUUAUGAUUUAUUGAUCAAUUUAAAAUAUAUGGUGCAACUACAGUGUUUAAAUGAGGAAAAUUUGUUUUUUAAAAAUCGUUUUAAGGCAUUCUUUUUUUUCUUUUUAAAGUUUAUGAACAUUUCUGUUCUUCUAAAAAAAAUGAAAUAUAUAGUUCUUCUUGAGUCUGGUUACAUUUGGCAGUAGUAGAGAUGUUUUAAAAAGAGGUUGGCACUCUCUUUUCUUGUUGAGACUUGAAUGUGUUAGUUAUUGUGUUGCUGUAUCAUUGACUAUUUACUUUUCUACAAACACUGCAGGGGAGAUUUACAAAGUAGAAACUUCUGUGAUAUUGCAUUGAUCUCCACUUUAUCUAUUCUGUCAGACUUUCAUGACAAUCUAAACUAAACUUACUGGGUUUAGGUUUGAAUCCUUGGUCUGCCAAUAGAUAAAGUGCAGAUUGUAAAAAUGUCAGUUUGUGGUGAUACCAAUGUGUCUUGUGCUAAAUUUUACUAGUUUGUAUUUCCUGUUUACCUGUAGUCAAAUUUAUUUGUAUAAGGAUCUCAUUGUUAAUUUUGUUAAUUUAUUUUUGUAACAAGGACUGUAAUUCAACAUUCUAUUUUUACAACUUUACACCAGGUAGUUAAAAUUUUUUUUUACACUUUCUCAAUCAAAAAUAAAAAAAUCUUGUUCAAAAAUUAUGUUGGUGUUUUAUAUUUUUUAAAUAAAUGUAAUACAUUUUAAGUUGGUUGCCAAAUUUGUGUUUUUUUUUUAUAGGAUAUGCCUGUGUCUGCAGGAUUAGUAAGGAAAUGUGCCAUAAAAUUCAACAAAUCAGUUGUUUGUUGUUGUUUUUUAAUGGAGCUGUUAUUUGUCAAUCCGAAUUUGACAUAGUGCAGCUCUAGAUCCACUUCAUUGUUUUUAAAUCUCCUUUCAGACCUUACGAUCUUUAGUGCAGAUAAUUUCUGAUAAACAGCCAAUCGUCUUUACUUUACCCAACCUAAUAUCCAGGACCCCUGACAAGCGCUUCCCAAAUUACUAUUUGUUUAGAUAUUUAGACAGGUUUGAGCUAGUCUGCUUACAAGCAUCAUCGAUUGUUGGGCAACAAUCCUUUUUUAAGUUUUAUCUGGGUUUUAUUUUAUUAAAAAUGUAUGUUAAGAAGCGUAUCGCACGUUCCUCUUGGUUCGUUCUGGCCAGGUAUGAACUUAAUCACGUGAUUUAUAAUUUACAUUGGCAACCCUCAGGGAUAUUACUAGAUUUGUUAUCAGUCGGACAUUCAUUAAUUCAUCAAUAGGGGUAAAAAAAAAAAAAACGACCAAUUUUUUUUUAAUGGGGAAGGUCAAAGUGCAUGUGGAGUAUUGGUUUGAACCUUGCCUGCUGCCAUCUCCAUUCCCUGCUGGAGGUAUGGGCUGCUAAGAUGUAAUCAUCUUCAAUUCUGUAGGAACAUCAUCGGUGCAUGAGGAUAUGAACCUCGGUUUCUGAAAUUGCGCAGCGUCAUCCUGAAUGAAAUUUCAGACUCCGAGGUUGAUAUUGUUGGCCAGGUUGGGCGCAGAAGUUCUUUUGAGAUAAAAAUCAAUGAUGAGCUGGUUUUCUCAAAACUUAAGAUGAAAGGCUUUCCCAAAGCUGAAGAUGUUAUUGAUAGCAUCCGUGCAGCCCAGAAAGGAGAAGCUAAAAUGAUCACAGAGUCCCAUUCUGAAUGCUCUAUUUUGUAACCAGUGUUCUUUUAGUGUUAUCUUUCUGUACUUGUUAUGUAAGGCAACAAUGAAGAAAUCUAACAACAACAAUGUAAAUUAUUUUGAACAAUGAAAUUGUAAAGACCUCCUGCUAUCAUUAGUCAGUCUUAUUAUUCAAUACUUGUGCAGCAAGACUGAUAGUAUUACAUCCAAAAUGAUAUAGCGUGCUGAUUAAAAUAUUUUGAAACUAUAAGGUCAACUAUUGAAGCAAAUUAUUUUUAUUUACGUUCUAAAAUGAUAAAAUAUACCUGGCUAUUUGAAAGCAGAGAUUAACAAUGACCUCAAAAGACAUAAAUUAUUAAGUUUCAGCCAUGAUUUAAAAGUUUAUGAACUUUGUAACCAGGAGGCCUAUUUAGAUUUUUAAUGCCAAUCUUAAAUUUACAAAUUCCUAUUCACGUUUCAUUUUUUUUUUUAAAUUAUACUUUCUACAAAUCUAAAUGAGCUCUAGUAAAUAUCAAUAUACUGGUAACUUUAUAGCCAUCAGAUUGCAUUUUUUAAAAAUAAGAAUUGAAUUUACUAUUAAUCUUAACAAAGCAAACACAAAAUGUGUUUUGAAUUAAUAUACCAACAAGUGGAAGAUUCACUAAAAAAUGUUGGCUUGCAUGAUAUUGUGUUAAUCACAACUUUGUCUGUCUCGACUUCAUGACAAUCUAAACUGAACUUUGUGGGUUUAAGAUUUGAAUUCUUUAGUCUUCUGACAGACAAAGUCCUGAUUGUAAAGAUAUCAUCAAGUUAUAUUUUGUUGUAGAAUCCAGUAUUUUGGUUUACUGUACACUUGGCUUUCAAUUUUGCUAAAUAAUUUACUGAGAUCUCAAUGUGUCAAACUUUUUAAAUGCUUAGAUAUACACACAUACAAUUUCACUAUGAAAUAAAAACUAUUUUUAAAGAUUCA